rnacentral:lncRNA from 15 species
CAGCAUGUUCUGUGGAUUAUGUGUCUGUUUGUGGAGUGAAAUUAUUUCUGGAAAGAGCAAUGUGUACGAUAUGGCCAGAAUUAUAGCUCAUAAAUGUUAAAACCAUUAUGUUGUUAUGUCAAAGACGUCAGUGUAUUGUGUUGUGCAGAGAUAGCUACUGAAAUUAGCAUGCUAACCUGACUAGCUGCAGUCCAUACUGUCUUGUAGGAUGAACAAGUGGAGAACAGGGUGAAGCGAAGGGACAAAGCUGCUUCUAGCUGACAGACAACCACUGCAGCCCAGUGGCAGACCCAUGGGCUCCCACAGCUCCAGCAGCAGAGAGGAGUCUGGGGCCAGGCGGCCUGUCACAGGAACAACAUGUCAUCAGCUUCAUCGCUCUCCUAAUGGCUCUCCUCUAGACCAGAGACAUGGCAAACAGUGUUGCCCCACCAAGACUUCCAUCAGGGGGAACAGUAUCUAAGAAAACGAGGAAGGAAAUGGGAUGAAAACAAAGGAAGAGGAAGGGAACCCAGUGUGAUGGAGCCUGUCCCUCACUGAUCCUGGUUUAGCCGGAGUCAUGCGGACAGUGGCGCCAGUGCUGCAACUAAUGGCUGUGGUCAUUCACGGAGGACCUUUUAUUUAUUUAUUUAUUUUAAAUGAAAGCACAAACAACCAAACAAAAUAAUGAAUGGGGGGAGAAUUGAUGUGGCCUGUUUUUGUUGUUAUCACAACUUAGAAUCAGUUACUGAUACUGACUGAGGUCAAGUGCCCUGGAAGAAUAUGUAUUGGAAAGUUUACAGCUUUGCAGGCGCAGGGAUGUCAAUGCAUUGUUGUGUGCUUAUUUUAAAGUUAUUUUAGGGCAU